GGGUAACCUGCCCUAUGCUGGGGAAUAACCUCGGGAAACUGAGAAUAAUGCCCCAUAGUCCACCAUGCCUGGAACGGUUGGUGGAUCAAAGCUCCGGCGGCAUAGGAUGGGCCUGCGGCGUAUCAGGUCGUAGGGGGUGUAACGUACCCUCUAGCCAUCGACGCGUACGGGUGUUGGGAGACAUAGCCCGGAGAUGGAUUCUGAGACACGAAUCCAGACCCUACGGGGUGCAGCAGGCGCGAAAACUUGGCAAUGCGAGCAAUCGUGACCAGGGAACUCCAAGUGCUUAGGGUAAGACCUAAGCUUUUCUUGACUCUUCAAAGGUCUUGGAAUAAGGGGUGGGUAAGGACGGUGCCAGCCGCCGCGGUAAUACCGGCGCCUCAAGUGGUAGUCGCUUUUAUUGGGCCUAAAACGUCCGUAGCCGGUCUGGUGCAUUCGUGGGUAAAUCAACCCGCUCAACGGGUUGAAUUCUGCGAGCACGGCCAGACUUGGGACCGGGAGAGGUGUGGGGUACUCUCAGGGUAGGGGUAAAAUCCUGUCAUCCUGAGAGGACCACCUGUUGCGAAGGCGCCACACUAGAACGGAUUCGACGGUCAGGGACGAAACCUAGGGGCACGAACCGGAUUAGAUACCCGGGUAGUCCUAGGUGUAAACGCUGUGGACUUGAUGUUGGGGGCGCUCCGAGCGCUUUCAGUGUCGAAGCGAAGGUGAUAAGUCCACUGCCUGGGGAGUACGGUCGCAAGGCUGAAACUU
rnacentral:rRNA from 1 species